rnacentral:lncRNA from 1 species
AAAGCCCUUGGCCAAGGAACCACAUUUCAACGGCAGCAGACCAUGAUAGAUAAUUUUUUCCAUUUAGCUUCUCGGAGGUAAUUGAUGGACUUCUGGAGAAGGAAAGAGCACUACCAGACGCCAUCUCUGAAGAUGACAAAUCGUACCAGUGAGAAACAAGAAAAACCCUAAGGGUUUAGACAAACGGGACUGUGACGGUGGCCGGCGACGGAGGAUGGCCGGCGGCGGUGAGCGGGAUCGACCCGUCUGAUACCAACUUGAGAAUUAAACUGUAAAAUAAUUCUAGAGGGCUUGAUUGGUCCCUCUCAUAUUCUUCUAUUUAUAAUAAUAAAUUGAUACAAGAGUACAUGAUAAUUAAAGUAACCUAGACACAAUAUAAUCAUGAUAAUUAGAGUAACCUAGACACAAUAUAAUCAUGAUAAUUAGAGUAACCUAGACACAAUAUAAUCAUGAUAAUUAGAGUAACUCUAGACACAAUAUAAUCAUGAUAUAUAGGAUAAAUAUCCUAAC